UAAACAUGGCAACUCCAAGAGUCAGCGGCCAUUUCUAAACGUCGUCCAUCCGUUUUUCGGGAUUGCGGAAUUUUAUACAAAUUACGGACUUUUAGAACAAUUUAGUGAUUAUUGGACGCUGAGGAGUUUGUGCAGUGAAACCUGAUGUGAUUUAUUCCGUUCUUGAGUGAAUAAAGACUGUAAUAAGUGCUUAAAUCUGCAAAAUCGUAGCCAAUGUCAGCAGGCGUGUCAGAUCAGCGGAUGAAAGGGCAAGGGAACCAAGUGACAAAUGCACCGAAAGAGCAUCAGUUAGAGAGUGGAGGGGAUGAGCUGGCCGAGCCGUCAUGGCGCCACCAGCAGCAGCCGUCGUACGCGCCUCCCAUCUCGUCCGCAGAUCACUACACCGCAGCAGGUUAUUACGGUACAACAGCACUUCCUUAUCAAGCUUUUGGAGUCGGGGACGGAACAUGGUCCACCAAUGGAGGAACAGAUCCGAUGACUUUCCUCGGAGGAUACAAUCCUCACGAUUCUUAUGGAAUGGAUGGUAGUGUGUUUGGACCGUCGACGACGCCAUUCUCGACGCCUGCUUUCGGCCAGCCGGCGUCCACAUUUAACUACUUUCAUGGUAACGGUGACUACUCCACGUGGGGUCAAUUAGGUCGGGCGAAGCAAUAUGACGACUACUACAGAGCUGAUGGACUGUACGUGCCGGACGGCAUCAAGGCGGUGGAGGCGGGCGUGCAGGCGCUGGCGCUGGACCACAAGGCGGACAAGGAGCGCAUGGCCGAGCUCAAGGAGAGCGGCGGCGGCUCGCAGCCCAAGAAGAUGACAUGGGCGUCCAUCGCCAGCCAGCCCGCCAAACCCACCCCGGCGGCGGUCAGCGGUGGACUCAAGAAGAAGGGGCCCGGCAUGCCGCCGCCGCCCAUCGUGCCCGGCAAGCACAACAUGGACAUUGGGACCUGGGACGCGGGCAAGAGCGCGCCGCCAGUGGUGAGCCAGCCCCCGCCGCCGCUUCCGCCGCCGCCCGCGCCGCUCGCCGUGCCCGUGCCGCAGCCCGCGCCCAUGCCGGCGCCGCUGCCGCACCCUCCGCACCAGCCGCACCAGCCGCCGCUCCAGCAGCAGCGGCCGCCGCCCGCGCGCGCGCCGCCCGUGCACGCGCCGCCGCCGCUCGCCCCGCCGCCGUCCUGGACGCACGCGCCGCCGCCCGCGCCGCGCCCGCUGCCGCCCGCGCCCGCGCCGCCCGCCGUGCCGCACCCCGUGCUCGACGAGCUGCGCGUCAAGAACGACUACAACCCCAAGGAGUUCGACCUGAGCGCGCCCAACGCGCGCUUCUUCGUCAUCAAGUCUUACUCGGAGGACGACAUCCACCGCAGCAUCAAGUACGAGAUCUGGUGCAGCACGGAGCACGGCAACAAGCGGCUGGACGCGGCGUGGCGCGAGCGCGAGCGCGAGGGCGGCACCGUCUACCUGUUCUUCUCGGUGAACGGCAGCGGCCACUUCUGCGGCAUGGCGCGCAUGACCAGCGCCGUGGACUACAACUCCAACUCGAGCGUGUGGUCGCAGGAUAAGUGGAAGGGGCAGUUCCGCGUGCGCUGGGUGUACGUGAAGGACGUACCCAACGUGCAGCUGCGGCACAUCCGCCUCGAGAACAACGAGAACAAGCCCGUGACCAACUCGCGCGACACGCAGGAGGUGCCGCACGCCAAGGGGCUGCAGGUGCUGCGUAUCAUGCACUCCUACUGCCACUCCACGUCCAUCUUCGACGACUUCAUCCACUACGAGCGGCGCCAGGAGGAGGAGGACCAGCGCAAGGUGCCGCCGCCGCCGCCCGAGCGCGACGAGGAGCCGCCGCGGCCCUACCGCCCCUACCGCGACCACGAGCGCGACCCGCGCGACCACCGCGACCCGCGGGGGGACCCCCGGGACCAGCGGGACCACCGUGACCCCCGGGACCAGCGGGACCCGAGGGACCAGCGCGACCCCCGCGACAACCGAGACCCCAGGGACCAGCGGGACCCGAGGGACCACCGCGACCAGCGGGACCAGCGCGACCCGCGCGACCACCGCGACCGCGACCACUCGUACCGCGACCGAGACUCCAACUACAGACCUCAACAUCAUAACAAGGAGCAUCGCGAGCGCGACGGGGGAGCGCGCAGCCGCGGGCGCCCGCGCCACUGACUCGCGUCCACGAGUAUAAGGACUGGCUUCUCCCCAUAGACGACUAGUGCUUGCAAGUGAUUGGUACCGCAUGAGUCGCGGCGGACGCGCGCCGCCGUCCGUUUGCGACUACCUUCACAGUUUGUAUGUAUCAUAGAGUAUCAAUUGUUUUAAAAAGUGCUUCACUAACAAAAAAAAAACUUUCAACAAAUUAUAAUGUGCUAACAAAAUAUAUUUGAACUGGAAGAACGUUUAAAUAAACAAACGCAUAGUGAACAGAACAUUAACAAAGUACCAGCAGUCGCCGCGCGGCGCCCGUGCGGCGGAGUGUGGACUUGUGGACAUUUAUUUCAAAUUUGUGGACUGAAUCAAUGGAGUUUAGUAAUUUUUAUAACUAGGAAAUUCUGUGGUGUGAGGAGUUGAUCCUUUCAGCCAGGGACAGGGACUGGUGAAGUUUAUUAAAUAAAAUAUUUGUUCUGCGGCGGCAGUGAGGCCGGACGAUCGCCGCACAAGUGUUUAGAAUUAUUAAGAAAUCAAUGAAGGUAUCGCGAGAACCUCUAAUGUAAUGACGAACUAUUGUAACUUUUGUAUUGCAUCAAAUUGUAAUCAUUAGUAAAGGUGUGGAGAUUUUAUAUACAUUUUUUUAAAGACGGUCGAACAUAAUGGUCAGUUUUAAAGGUUGCUUCUCUCGUGGCAUUGUGUUGAUCAACUCUGUUGUCUUGUGCGUGCUGCACUCUUGAUACGAUCCUGUCAAUUUUGGUACAUUACUGAGUAUCAAAUACGAUUCCAAGCUACACAAUGAAUUACAUAUUUCGUCAUAAUUCUAAUGUAGAUAAAUGAAUUGUUCCUUGUUGAAAUUUAUUUUAACAUGUGUACAUAAUUAUAUAUAUUUUAAUAAAGAUUUUAAAAUGUUUUCUACUCUUUAAGUGCAACGACAGUGUGACGAGAGAAAUUAUUAAUCAAAAAGAAGAGAACUAACUAAUUUCAACAACAUUUUCUGGACCUACAUUUUGUUCUACAGUUAUGUAUUUUUUUUAUUAACUUUUAAUUUUAACAUUAACUGUUAUUGAUUCAUGAAGGCAGACUAGUUUUCAUAACGAUUGUAUUUUUUAUUCCAUGUUAACUUAUAGAUAGUUACUUGCUGAUGCAUUACUAUGUUUUAUUUUUAAAUAGUUUAGACUCAUUUGUCAAGGUAAAGACAUUUCCUUCACUGUGCAUGAAGCGUUAAUUUAAAAUUAUGUCAUAAAAGGUCUAUAAAACUGAUAAAAUGAAUUAAAAUCUGUCAUACAAA